CUUUGAUUUAUGAUCGUCAUUUGCACUGAAAAGUUUUAAGAACUUGUUUCACUAGAUUAUCAGACACAUGUGACCUUGAGUUUUGAACUAGAGAACAAAUCAAUGGGGGUUAUUUACUUUAUACAACUUACCAAAAUGUGAAAUAUGAUGACUUUGUGGUAAAUGGUUUUCAACUGAUAAUCAGCGGAAGCCACGUGGUCUUCAGACUGACAGACUCAGACCGCCAGACAUUAGCAAAAAUAUACCCCCGUCAUCUUCUGUUCAACAUUCUUGUGUUUAUUGGAUACAGAAGAAUGAGUAAUUGUAAAAGGUCUUAAUUGAAGCAAAGAAAUACAAGCUGACAAGAUGGUGGACAGUAAAGAAACACUUUGUGAGAAGUUAUUUCCUCAAUUGCAUCAUGAGUGUGAAGUGUGUUAUAAAGAGUUUUCUACAGAAACUUAUCUUAUCAGUCAUAUGGCAAUACACACUGACAUGAAAAAACACAAGUGUGAAGUAUGUGAUAAAGUGCUUUCCACAGGAGGUAAUCUUACCAGACACAUGACAAUACACACUGGCGAGAAGAAACAUUGUUGUAAAAUGUGUUAUAAAGCGUUUUCUACACGAGGUAAUCUUGUCAGUCAUAUGGCAAUACACACUGGCGAGAAAAAUCAUAACUGUCAAUUCUGUGGUAAAGCAUUUUCUCGACGGAGUCAUCUUACCAUACAUAUGACAAUCCACACUGGCGAGAAAAUACAUAAGUGUGAAUUCUGUGGUAAAGCAUUUUCUCAACGGAGUAGUCUUAUCACACAUAUGACAAUACACACUGGUGAGAAAAAACAUAAGUGUGAAUUCUGUGGUAAAGCAUUUUCUGAACGAAGUCAUCUUACCAGACAUAUGACAAUACACACUGGUGAGAAAAAUCAUAAGUGUGAAUUCUGUGGUAAAGCAUUUUCUGAACGAAGUCAUCUUACCAGACAUAUGACAAUACACACUGGUGAGAAAAAUCAUAAGUGUGAAUUCUGUGGUAAAGCAUUUUCUCAACGAAGUCAUCUUACCAAACAUAUGACAAUACACACUGGCGAGAAAAAACAUAAGUGUGUAGUAUGUGAUAAAGCCUUUUCUACAGGAAGUAAUCUUAAAAAUCAUAUGACAAUACACACUGGCGAGAAAAAUCAUAAGUGUGUAGUAUGUGAUAAAGCGUUUUCCAGUAAAAGUAGUGUUAUCACACAUAUGGCAAAACACACUGGCAAGAAGAAUCAUAAAUGCGAAGUGUGUGAUAAAGCAUUUUCCUCACGAAGUUAUCUUAUCAUUCAUAUGACAAUACAUACUGGCGAGAAGAAUUAUAAAUGUGAAGUCUGUGAUAAAGCAUUUUCUACUCAAAAUACUCUUAUCACACAUAUGGCAAUACACACUGGAGAGAAAAGAUGUAAGUGUGACAUUUGUAAUAAAGUAUUUUCUCAUAGCAGUUCUCUUAGUAGGCAUAUGACAAUCCACACUGGCGAGAAAAGAUAUAAGUGUGACAUUUGUGAUAAAGUAUUUUCUCAAAGCAGUUCUCUUAUAAAGCAUAUGACAAUCCACACUGGCGAGAAAAGAUAUAAGUGUGACAUGUGUCAUAAAGCGUUUCCUACAGGAAGUUAUCUUAUUAGGCAUAUGACAAUACACACUGGCGAGAAGAAUCAUAAGUGUGAAGUAUGUGAUAAAGCAUUUUCUGAUAAAAGUUAUCUUAUCAGGCAUAUGAAAAUACACACUGGCAAUAAAAAAACAUACAUGUAAGUGGACAGUGUGUGAUAAAGGGUUUUCUACACAAAGAAGUCUUAUCAGGCAUAUGAAAAUACACACUGGCAAGAAAAAAACAUGAAUGUGACAUGUGUGAUAAAGCAUUUUCUCAACAUACUAAUCUUAUCACACAUAUGACAACACACACUGGUGAGAAUAAAUAAUACUAUGUCACAUAUAGCAAACAUGCUGGUGAGUGAAAAAAACAUAGAUGUAAAGUGUGUCAUUAAGCUUUUCCAACGUGGUUCUUGAAACAAACAUAUGACUUUACACACUGGUGAUAAAAAGAUUUAUUUGAAGUUCACAGGGUCUUACUUCUAGCAAAGAAAUACAAGCUGACAAGAUGGUGGACAGUAAAGACACACUUUGUGAGAAGUUAUCAUCCUCAAUUGCAUCAUGAGUGUGAAGUGUGUUAUAAAGCGUUUUCUACAGAAACUUAUCUUAUCAAUCAUAUGGCAAUACACACUGGCAUGAAAAAACAUAAGUGUGAAGUAUGUGAUAAAGCGCUUUCUACACGACAUAGUCUUAUC